CUGCAUUCCUCACAGUCCGGGCUCCCGGGGCAGGACGCCACAGCGCCUGCGCGAGCGCUGGCAGCGACAGCAGGCCCUCAAAAUGUACACAUUCUAUGUUAAGCCUUGGGUAUUCAAGGAUGAAUAACAGGAACUGCCUUAUCUGAGGACUAAUGCAUGCAGGCACCAUGCUGAACACUUCUAUUGCUUUUAUCUUCAUAACUAUCCUUUGAGGGGCUAGGGAUGUGGCUCAAGCAGUAGCGCGCUCGCCUGGC